AGGAUGUGAUGCAUUCUUUUUUAACUGCAACCCUGCUUUGAUUGAUUGUUUUCAAGAUCCGUGCAUGAACGCCAUGUGUCCAGCUUUUCCAACGGCCUCCUGCAAGACUGGAUGUAGCUGCGAAGCAGAAUGGUACGUUAACAUCAAUCAAAGAGUUACUGACGCAUGUUUUCAUAGGGGAUAAGAAGGGAUAACACAUGUUAAAAUUAUGCACAUAAAAAUAUAUUGAAUAGUUAGUUAG